rnacentral:rRNA from 1 species
GACAGAGGGUGCAAACGUUGUUCGGAAUUACUGGGCGUAAAGCGCGUGUAGGCGGCAGGGUGUGUCGGAUGUGAAAUCCCGUGGCUCAACCACGGAAGUGCACCCGAAACUGCCCAGCUUGAGUCUCGGAGAGGAAGGCGGAAUGCUUGGUGUAGAGGUGAAAUUCGUAGAUAUCAAGCGGAACACCGGUGGCGAAGGCGGCCUUCUGGACGAUGACUGACGCUGAGACGCGAAAGCGUGGGGAGCGAACAGG